ensembl:lncRNA
CUUGAUGUUUGAGGGUAUUAAAAAUAUACGUUUCUUGAGACAAUAUGUAUGGGCAUAGGCAGACGUUGCAAUUGGAGGAUACAUUUGAUUAAUAUUCUAUAAUAAUAUUCAAUAAACUACAUCUGUCGGUACAAACUUUGAUUGCGAAAUAAUGAUGUAACUAACUUUUUGGGGGGCGCUCCCGCACAUAAAGCACUACAUACCAUUGCACAAGUCCCGCCCCUGGAUUGAAGAGAUUUGGGGAUAUAAAAUGAAGGAUACAAGCACUUUUGUGUUCAUCUCGUCAACAUCAUCAGCUUCACGACACAUUAAUCCUCGUAGUGUUCUAGUCACUAGCAAACAAGAGAGAGCUUUUGUGUCUCAAUCCUACCUCAAAAGAAUUCCUCAUCCUCAUCCCUCGCACCUCUCUACCGGUAGCGCGAGCCACACAGCGCAGCCAUGGCCAGCGACGAUCAGCGGGGGCUACAUUAUGAACAAACGUUGCAUUGUCCCAGUCAUAUCCACGGCAGCAGGAAGAAUGAAGUCCUCCACAAUAGUAUGGGGCUUGCCUGUCUGUAACGUGUGUGCUGGGAGUGGUGACCUAGAGGCCAGAGAGGGAGCACACAUCUUAGCCACUCGGUAGCUCACCAUAUAAGACGCUUUUAGACCCUUCUUAUUAAUGGUAUCUGUUACUUUUAUACAUGUCUUAUUACUCGAAAGUCGUCAUUAUUCUCGCUCCAAACACUCUGUGGCUUAUUUUUCAAAUGGUCAUGUUUUGUUUCUAAAUGUCUGUGCAAGUGUGAAGGUUUCCUGUGAGAGAGUAACGGUUAAUGUGAUUGGAUGUUCAUUUUUUGACUAGGCUACCUGUAUUUGACAUUGUGUUGUUAUUUCGCUGAACAUUAGAUGGUUUAAUUUUAAUUUUGGCAGUGAAACGAGGCUACUCAUGCGAGAGAGAAAAAACUCACCCAAAUGUACAGCCCCGUUGGAAAAUGUAAAUGUACUGUUUGAAAAUGUGAAGAUAAUACAAAUAAAAAGUGAAAUGUGAAUCACAUUUUGAUUUGGCUUACCUCCGACGGCAUUGCUACCCCAGUUUGGGAAUACCUGUUCCAAAAGGACAACCACCUAUGCAGCACUCCACCAAUCAGGCCUUUAUGGUAGAGUGGAUAGAUGGAAGCCACUCCUUAGUACAAGGCACAAACAUACUGCUCAUCAUAUAUCUGCUGCAGAGGGACAAGAGAGAGCCAUGAGAAAGCAAGUUUUGAUCCGUCAUGGAAAUAAAAGUGCUGAAAACCAAUGGGCUCCCUAUUUCUAAAGAAGAUGGAGAACAAGCUAUGAAGGAAAAAUACUGGAGUUUUGGUGCAGGUACAACAACCUAGUGCAAAAAUAAUAUUGUGAUAUUAUAUUUCGUAAAACAUUAUAUUUUGGUAUGUAACUAUAUCGAUCCCCCCCAUCACUACUCUUCCUCCCCCUCUCUCAUAUAUCCUACCUGUUGUUCUGGCUGAUACAGUCCUAUACACUGUAGAUAGGGUCAGUUGUUCUGGCUGAUACAGUCCUAUACACUGUAGAUAGGGUCAGUUGUUCUGGCUGAUACAGUCCUAUACACUGUAGAUAGGGUCAGUUGUUCUGGCUGAUACAGUCCUAUACACUGUAGAUAGGGUCAGUUGUUCUGGCUGAUACAGUCCUAUACACUGUAGAUAGGGUCAGUUGUUCUGGCUGAUACAGUCCUAUACACUGUAGAUAUGGUCAGUUGUUCUGGCUGAUACAGUCCUAUACACUGUAGAUAUGGUCAGUUG